UACGAAGGGGGCUAGCGUUGCUCGGAAUUACUGGCGUAAAGCGCACGUAGGCGGAUUGUUAAGUCGGGGGUGAAAUCCUGGAGCUCAACUCCAGAACUGCCUUCGAUACUGGCGAUCUCGAGUUCGGGAGAGGUGAGUGGAACUGCGAGUGUAGAGGUGAAAUUCGUAGAUAUUCGCAAGAACACCAGUGGCGAAGGCGGCUCACUGGCCCGAUACUGACGCUGAGGUGCGAAAGCGUGGGAGCAAACAGG
rnacentral:rRNA from 1 species